AGCCAUGCAUGUCUAAGUAUAAAUAGUAUACAGUGAAACUGCGAAUGGCUCAUUAAAACAGUUAUAGUUUAUUUGAUAAUGGAAAGCUACAUGGAUAACCGUGGUAAUUCUAGAGCUAAUACAUGCUGUUAAACCCGACUUUUUGAAGGGUUGUAUUUAUUAGAUAUUAAAGCCAAUAUUCCUCCGGGUCUAUUGUGGUGAAUCAUAGUAACUGAUCGAAUCCCUUUACGGGAUAAAUCAUUCAAGUUUCUGCCCUAUCAGCUUUCGAUGGUAGUGUAUUGGACUACCAUGGCAGUUACGGGUAACGGAGAAUUAGGGUUCGGUUCCGGAGAGGGAGCCUGAGAAACGGCUACCACAUCUAAGGAAGGCAGCAGGCGCGUAAAUUACCCAAUCCCGAUUCGGGGAGGUAGUGACAAGAAAUAACAACCUGGGGGACUUUGUCCUUACGGGAUUGCAAUGAGGACAAUUUAAACGACUUAUCGAGGAACAAUUGGAGGGCAAGUCUGGUGCCAGCAGCCGCGGUAAUUCCAGCUCCAAUAGCGUAUAUUAAAGUUGUUGCAGUUAAAAAGCUCGUAGUUGAACUUCUGUACGUGCCCGGUUCUGGCUUCGGUCAAGCUGUGGUGCGUGCAUCCGCUUGCAAACUAGGCCCGGCCUUCACUGGUCGACCUAGGGAGUAGGCCUUUUACUUUGAAAAAAUUAGAGUGUUUCAAGCAGGCAAUGGCUCGAAUACAUUAGCAUGGAAUAAUAGAAUAGGACUUUUGUCCAUUUGGUUGGUUAUUGGACAUGAGUAAUGAUUAACAGGGACAGUUGGGGGCAUUAGUAUUUAAUUGUCAGAGGUGA
rnacentral:rRNA from 1 species